GACAGAGGGUGCAAACGUUGCUCGGAAUUACUGGGCGUAAAGCGCGUGUAGGUGGCUUGGUGUGUCAGAUGUGAAAGCCCUGGGCUCAACCCAGGAAUUGCACCUGAAACUACCAGUCUUGAGUGGUGGAGAGGGAAGUGGAAUUCCUGGUGUAGAGGUGAAAUUCGUAGAUAUCAGGAGGAACACCAGUGGCGAAGGCGGCUUCCUGGACACCAACUGACGCUGAGACGCGAAAGCGUGGGGAGCAAACAGG
rnacentral:rRNA from 1 species